CACGUAGGGACCGAGCGUUGUCCGGAUUUAUUGGGCGUAAAGAGCUCGUAGGCGGUUCGGUAAGUCGGGUGUGAAAGCUCCAGGCUCAACUUGGAGAGGCCACCCGAUACUGUCGUGACUAGAGUCCGGUAGGGGAGUGGGGAAUUCCUGGUGUAGCGGUGAAAUGCGCAGAUAUCAGGAGGAACACCGGUGGCGAAGGCGCCACUCUGGGCCGGAACUGACGCUGAGGAGCGAAAGCGUGGGUAGCAAACAGG
rnacentral:rRNA from 1 species